rnacentral:rRNA from 1 species
UACAGAGACUGCAAGCGUUAUUCGGAUUCACUGGGCGUAAAGGGUGCGCAGGCGGUUGGGUGUGUCAGAUGUGAAAUCCCGAGGCUUAACCUCGGAACUGCGUCUGAAACUACUCGACUAGAGUACUGGAGAGGGUAACGGAAUUCACGGUGUAGCAGUGAAGUGCGUAGAUAUCGUGAGGAACACCAGAGGCGAAGGCGGUUACCUGGACAGUUACUGACGCUCAGGCACGAAAGCAUGGGGAGCAAAAGGG